GUCAGAGGUGUAUAAGAGACAGGUGAGUCAUCGAAUCUUUGAACGCACAUUGCGCCCCUUGGUAUUCCGAGGGGCAUGCCUGUUCGAGCGUCAUUUAAACCAAUCUAGCUCUGCUAGGUCUUGGGCCGCGCCGUCUGGCGGGCCUUAAAACCAGUGGCGGUACUGCCAGGCUUCUAAGCGUAGUAAAUCUCUCGCUAUAGGGCCCUGGCGGAUGCUGGCCAGCAACCCCCCAUUUUUUUCAGGUUGACCUCGGAUCAGGUAGGGAUACCCGCUGAACUUAAGCAUAUCAAUAAGCGGAGG
rnacentral:misc_RNA from 1 species